AUACUUACCUGGCAGGAGAGAUACCAGGAUCACAAAGGUGGUUUUUCCAGUGCAAGGCUCACCCAUUGCAGUUCAGGUGUGCUGACCCCUGCUGAAAUCCCAAAUGUGGGAAAUUCAACUGCAUAAUUUGUGCUUGUGGGGGACUGUGUUCACUCUCGCCAC